UACGGAGGGUGCAAGCGUUAUCCGGAUUCACUGGGUUUAAAGGGUGUGUAGGCGGAUAUUUAAGUCAGUGGUGAAAUCUCCGGGCUCAACCCGGAAACUGCCAUUGAUACUAUUUAUCUUGAAUACUGUUGAGGUAGGCGGAAUAUAUCAUGUAGCGGUGAAAUGCUUAGAUAUGAUAUAGAACACCGAUUGCGAAGGCAGCUUACUAAGCAGUUAUUGACGCUGAGGCACGAAAGCGUGGGGAUCAAAC
rnacentral:rRNA from 1 species